UACGUAGGGUGCAAGCGUUGUCCGGAAUUAUUGGGCGUAAAGAGCUUGUAGGCGGUUUGUCGCGUCUGCUGUGAAAUUUCGGGGCUCAACCCCGAACUUGCAGUGGGUACUGGCAGGCUAGAGUGUGGUAGGGGAGACUGGAAUUCCUGGUGUAGCGGUGAAAUGCGCAGAUAUCAGGAGGAACACCGAUGGCGAAGGCAGGUCUCUGGGCCAUAACUGACGCUGAGAAGCGAAAGCAUGGGGAGCGAACAGG
rnacentral:rRNA from 1 species